UUCAUUCUAACCGGAUACUAUUAUUAUGUUAGAACUUUCUUUACAUAAAAAGUAGUCCCACGCUUGACAUGACACCAAGGGAUAGUCCUUUUAUCAACUGGACAAUAAUUCUUUCUUUAACUUGUCAACAUCUUAAUUAGAUCAUGUUUCACUAGAAAAUUUUGAUUAUGUUUAUGAAGUCUAAUUGCAGAUGGUACUUUUACACCCUCUCCUUAGUCUCUACUCUAGUAGUUAUUGGAUUAGCAUGUGGUUGGGCACUAAGCACAAAAGUAUGGGCCCUUUCAGAGGUUCUCUUUUAAGGCUUAUGGGGCAAUGGUGCUUCCCACUUUCACCAGC
rnacentral:lncRNA from 1 species